rnacentral:rRNA from 1 species
GAUGAACGCUGGCGGCGUGCCUAAUACAUGCAAGUCGAGCGAACAGGCGAGGAGCUUGCUCCUCUGACGUUAGCGGCGGACGGGUGAGUAACACGUGGAUAACCUACCUAUAAGACUGGGAUAACUUCGGGAAACCGGAGCUAAUACCGGAUAAUAUAUUGAACCGCAUGGUUCAAUAGUGAAAGACGGUUUUGCUGUCACUUAUAGAUGGAUCCGCGCCGCAUUAGCUAGUUGGUAAGGUAACGGCUUACCAAGGCAACGAUGCGUAGCCGACCUGAGAGGGUGAGCGGCCACACUGGAACUGAGACACGGUCCAGACUCCUACGGGAGGCAGCAGUAGGGAAUCUUCCGCAAUGGGCGAAAGCUUGACGGAGCAACGCCGCGUGAGUGAUGAAGGUCCGGAUCGUAAAACUCUGUUAUUAGGGAAGAACAAAUGUGUAAGUAACUAUGCACGUCUUGACGGUACCUAAUCAGAAAGCCACGGCUAACUACGUG